rnacentral:rRNA from 1 species
AGCGAACGCUGGCGGCAGGCUUAACACAUGCAAGUCGAGCGGGCAUAGCAAUAUGUCAGCGGCAGACGGGUGAGUAACGCGUGGGAACGUACCUUUUGGUUCGGAACAACUGAGGGAAACUUCAGCUAAUACCGGAUAAGCCCUUACGGGGAAAGAUUUAUCGCCGAAAGAUCGGCCCGCGUCUGAUUAGCUAGUUGGUUGGGUAAUGGCACACCAAGGCGACGAUCAGUAGCUGGUCUGAGAGGAUGACCAGCCACAUUGGGACUGAGACACGGCCCAAACUCCUACGGGAGGCAGCAGUGGGGAAUAUUGGACAAUGGGCGCAAGCCUGAUCCAGCCAUGCCGCGUGAGUGAUGAAGGCCCUAGGGUUGUAAAGCUCUUUUGUGCGGGAAGAUAAUGACGGUACCGCAAGAAUAAGCCCCGGCUAACUUCGUGCCAGCCGCCGCGGUAA